rnacentral:rRNA from 1 species
CCUACGGGUGGCAGCAGUGGGGAAUAUUGCACAAUGGGGGAAACCCUGAUGCAGCGACGCCGCGUGAGUGAAGAAGUAUUUCGGUAUGUAAAGCUCUGUCAGCAGGGAAGAAAAUGACGGUACCUGACCAAGAAGCCCCGGCUAACUACGUGCCAGCAGCCGCGGUAAUACGUAGGGGGCAAGCGUUAUCCGGAUUUAUUGGGUUUAAAGGGUGCGUAGGCUGGGAGGUAAGUCAGCGGUGAAAUGCCCCCGCUCAACGGGGUGAAGUGCCAUUGAUACUGCCUUGCUGGAAUGCGGAUGCCGUGGGAGGAAUGUGUGGUGUAGCGGUGAAAUGCAUAGAUAUCACACAGAACACCGAUUGCGAAGGCAUCUCACGAAGCCGCGAUUGACGCUGAUGCACGAAAGCGUGGGGAUCAAACAGGAUUAGAUACCCCUGUAGUC